CCUACGGGGGGCUGCAGUGGGGAAUAUUGGACAAUGGGGGCAACCCUGAUCCAGCCAUGCCGCGUGUGUGAAGAAGGCCCUCGGGUUGUAAAGCACUUUCAGUGAGGAAGAACGCCUGGUGGUUAAUACCCAUCAGGAAAGACAUCACUCACAGAAGAAGCACCGGCUAACUCCGUGCCAGCAGCCGCGGUAAUACGGAGGGUGCGAGCGUUAAUCGGAAUUACUGGGCGUAAAGCGCGCGUAGGUGGCUUGAUAAGCCGGUUGUGAAAGCCCCGGGCUCAACCUGGGAACGGCAUCCGGAACUGUCAAGCUAGAGUGCAGGAGAGGAAGGUAGAAUUCCCGGUGUAGCGGUGAAAUGCGUAGAGAUCGGGAGGAAUACCAGUGGCGAAGGAGGCCUUCUGGACUGACACUGACACUGAGGUGCGAAAGCGUGGGUAGCAAACAGGAUUAGCUACCCUAGUAGUC
rnacentral:rRNA from 1 species